GACGAACGCUGGCGGCGUGCUUAACACAUGCAAGUCGAACGGAAAGGCUCCAGCUUGCUGGCGUACUCGAGUGGCGAACGGGUGAGUAACACGUGGGUAAUCUGCCCUGCACUCUGGGAUAAGCCUGGGAAACUGGGUCUAAUACCGGAUAUGACCUUUCUACUUAUGGGGUUCGGUGGAAAGUUUUUCUGUGUAGGAUGGGCCCGCGGCCUAUCAGCUUGUUGGUGGGGUGAGGGCCUACAAAGGCGACGCAGGGUAGCCGGCCUGAGAGGGGGAUCGGCCACAUUGGGACUGAGAUACGGCCCAGACGCCUACGUGAGGCAGCAGUGGGGAAUAUUGCACAAUGGGCGGAAGCCUGAUGCAGCGACGCCGCGUGAGGGAUGACGGCCUUCGGGUUGUAAACCUCUUUCAGCAGGGACGAAGCGUAAGUGACGGUACCUGCAGAAGAAGCACCGGCUAACUAUGUG
rnacentral:rRNA from 1 species